rnacentral:sRNA from 1 species
ACGAAAAUAGCACCCGGCGGCAGUGGCUUCAGAU